CUUGCGCCCCGGCUUGAGUGGAAAUCCUUUUUGCUUACAAAUCAGUUCUAAUUAUAAAAAAAAUUUCGAAGCAAAAAGAUUGGGAACGGAAGACGGAUUAAGGC
rnacentral:misc_RNA from 1 species